ensembl:lncRNA
CUGCAUAAAGAAAUUAGAUCAUCUACUAGUAAGAUCAGAUCUGUGCCAGAUAUCAACAGUAUAAACGCAGCCUUUUAUGUGUGGUUUCACGGCAGAUCUCAGGCCCUCGGCUCCACAGAUGAACUGUGGGCUGUGAUCUUCGGUGCUGGCAGGGCUUCAGUUCGCCCUCAUGUCUGCCAUCUGAUUCUACACCUGCCAAACUCCACGGCCCCCAUCUGCCCUUUACAACAUGACCUCAUCGGCACGGCACGUUUGAAGUGCUCUAGAAAGACUGCCAGCAUGUUCUGGAUUCUCUGCCUCAAUCCCGAGACGCUCACAAGAGAAUACAACAUCUAAAAAAACAUCAUUUUAUCUAAUAAAAGGUGUGAGUGGUCUGGUUCCUGGUGUCCUCGGCGCUCAGCAGGUGGAGGCGACUGCAGCAGGUGUUAGCGCGGAGGGUGGAGAGAAGCCGUGAUUAAUGCCGCGGUGCCCUUUACUGUUUCAGAGCGGCAGGGCGGCAUUAGCAUUCAAAACAUGAAGAGCAGCCAGUGUGUGUCUGGUGUGGAAAACAGGAAAACAGCAGAACACACGUUUACUUAAUCUGUUCACACAUACAUGUGCACACUGCAGUUCUGCAGUGCUUGUUUGCUUCAUUUGCAUUCAGUUUUUUCCUCUCUGAGAGCAUCUAGUCUGUUAAUUAUUUUACAGACGCUUGAACAGGACAUGCUAGCUGUCCUAGCUGACUUUACACAGAUAAAUUGAUUUGCUCAGUUUAAUUUCUCUUCUGUUCUCCUUCUGGGAGCCAAUACGGAAAGCAAUCCUUUAAGUACUUAAUCAAUACGGUUUCUGUGGCAUCAUUGCGAAUUAAUGUCCUGAGCGUCCUUGUUGUGUCCGAUAGCAUCUCUUCAUCAAUGAAAACAUUCUCCUCAUAAACCAAUGAGUCAGAUUCAUCAGUUAGUCAUCACACUUUGCAACAUCAACGCUGAAAAAAUCCAUAGAAUAUGUAAAAAUCCUUCAAACAAAAUACAUUUGUCCAACAAUGCAUUGAUUUUCUGAAUAUGUGAGUGUCUUACUGCACUGGCAGAUUUAUUUGACUGAUAUUUUUAGCUUGUUUACAAUUAAGAUAAAAUGCACCCAUAAUAAAGAUACAUUGUCUAAAAGCA